rnacentral:lncRNA from 12 species
CCUGGAUACAGUCUUCUCUCAUGGAAAAGUCUAUAUUUAGUGAUGAUGUUAAAUUUGGAUACAAGCAGGGAAAUAGAAAAGUCUUUUUAUUUUUUUUUUUUCAGUGCUAAUUGGCCUUUGGCCUUACAUUUACUUGUUCAUGUUGGCACAGACCUACUGCUCCCUGUGGAGUUGCCUGCCAAAGGCCAGGUGGAGGUGAGAGCACCUAUAGGAAGAACCCAGAUGGAAAGAUGGACAAAAGUGUUGGAAAACACACCUGCUUCAUAAAAUCAGUGGCUGCAGUGUGUGUUGCUGGCAUGAGCAAGGGGGAUCUGACCACGAUGUGCGUGAGGAAAACUCAGGUGUGGAUUGGUGAGGUAUUCUCAUUCUCUUAAUUGCUGUGAGACAAGGAAGCAGAGCUGGACAGUCACUCCAGGUUGCGUUCUCCUUAUGAGUUUGGAAGGGAAAACUUCUGUGUCCAUCUCCACUCAACCACAGGGAUUCCAUCCUGCAUCCCAGCAGAGGAAGAAGCUGAAUGCUGCUAGACCUCACAGCUGUGUCUGGUGCUGCAGGCAGCUGAUGAGAACAGAGGAAGGAGCAGAUGAUGACACCAAAUCCUGCCCUGGAGCUGGGCAGGGCUCAAGGAGCAGCCCCGUGUGGAGAAGCAGAUGGAGCUCUGCAAAGUAUCAGCAUGCCGAAUUUUAUGGAGCAUUUCUGGAACUGAGGGACACCUAUCUGGGAAUUUCCAGGUAAUUGCCAUUUCUUCUGCUUCUUUCAUGAGCUGCUCUGGAUGUUGUGACCUUCUCCUUGAUC